UACGUAGGGUGCAAGCGUUGUCCGGAAUUAUUGGGCGUAAAGAGCUCGUAGGCGGUCUGUCGCGUCGGCUGUGAAAUCCCGAGGCUCAACCUCGGGUCUGCAGUCGAUACGGGCAAACUAGAGUAUUGCAGGGGAGACUGGAAUUCCUGGUGUAGCGGUGAAAUGCGCAGAUAUCAGGAGGAACACCGGAGGCGAAGGCGGCUUGCUGGACCUGGUCUGACGCUGAGGCGCGAAAGCGUGGGGAGCGAACAGG
rnacentral:rRNA from 1 species